AGUGAACGCUGGCGGCAGGCCUAACACAUGCAAGUCGAACGGCAGCACAAGAGAGCUUGCUCUCUGGGUGGCGAGUGGCGGACGGGUGAGGAAUGCAUCGGACUCUGCCCAUUUGUGGGGGAUAACCUCGGGAAACCGGGACUAAUACCGCAUACGACCUACGGGUGAAAGCAGGGGAUCUUCGGACCUUGCUCAGAUGGAUGAGCCGAUGCCGGAUUAGCUAGUUGGAGGGGUAAAGGCCCACCAAGGCGACGAUCCGUAGCUGGUCUGAGAGGAUGAUCAGCCACACUGGAACUGAGACACGGCCCAGACUCCUACGGGAGGCAGCAGUGGGGAAUAUUGGACAAUGGGCGCAAGCCUGAUCCAGCCAUGCCGCGUGUGUGAAGAAGGCCUUCGGGUUGUAAAGCACUUUUGUUGGGAAAGAAAAGCAGCCGGUUAAUACCCGGUUGUCAUGACGGUACCCAAAGAAUAAGCACCGGCUAACUUCGUG
rnacentral:rRNA from 1 species